AUUGAACGCUGGCGGCAGGCCUAACACAUGCAAGUCGAACGAGUGGCGGACGGGUGAGUAAUGUCUGGGAAACUGCCUGAUGGAGGGGGAUACCUACUGGAAACGGUAGCUAAUACCGCAUACCAUCGGAUGUGCCCAGAUGGGAUUCGCUAGUGGGUGGGGUAAAGGCUCACCUAGGCGACGAUCCCUAGCUGGUCUGAGAGGUGGACCAGCAACACGGGAACUGGGACACGGUCCAGACUCCAACGGGAGGCAGCAGGGGGGAAUAUUGCACAAUGGGCGCAAGCCGGAUGCAGCCAUGCCGGGUGUAUGAAGAAGGCCUUCGGGUUGAAAAGUACUUUCAGCGGGGAGGCGUUACCCGCAGAAGAAGCACCGGCUAACUCCGUGCCAGCAGCCGCGGUAAUAC
rnacentral:rRNA from 1 species